rnacentral:rRNA from 1 species
GGUGAACGCUGGCGGCGUGCCUAAUACAUGCAAGUCGAACGGAAACACAUUAAGCUUUUGCCCUUACGGUUAGCGACUGACGGGUGAGUAACGCAUGGAUCAGCUUCCUCUUUUUCGUGGAGGACAUCGGGAGACCACUGCUACUACCACAUAAUACGUUCAACCGCAGGAAUCAAGAGAUCAUGACGCCUUUGCAGCUUGCAAGAGCCGAUGCCGGUUUAGCUAGGUGGCUGGGUAAGGAACCACCAAGGCAACGAAACGUAGCUGCUCUGAGAGGAUGGUCGGCCACACUGGACCGGGGACACGGUCCAGACUCCUACGGGAGGCAGCAGUGGGGAAUAUUGGACAAUGGGCGAAAGCCUGAUGCAGCAAUGCCGCGUGGGUGAAGAAGGUCUUCGGGUUGUAAAGCCCUUUUGUUGGGAAAGAAAAGCAGCAGGUUAAAACCCCGAUGUUUUGACGGUACCUAAACAGAAAGCAACGGCUAACUACGUG